rnacentral:sRNA from 1 species
CCGGUAUCCCUCCGGGAGCGGCUCAACCCAGCCCAUCGCUCUGGCCCCGUUCUGGCCCUGCAGGGUGGUGGUUGGGACCGUGAAAUGAGCGCGCGAGUGGUACGUCCGCUCUCCGCGCUCACGCCCCCCCCCCACCGUGUUUCCCGCCAGGACCAUCAGCACGUGCCCAUCGACAUCCAGACCAGCAAGCUGCUCGAUUGGCUGGUGGACAGAAGGCACUGCAGCCUGAAAUGGCAGAGUCUGGUGCUGACGAUCCGCGAGAAGAUCAAUGCUGCCAUCCAGGAUAUGCCAGAGAGCGAAGAGAUCGCCCAGCUGCUGUCUGGGUCCUGUGAGUGCUUAGGGGCUGUCACUGGAGUCCCCUCUUUGCUGAGGUAACAUUCACUACUUUCACUGCCUAAGAAUCCUGGACCUUCUCAAAGGCACAGAGGCCUCCACGAAAAAUAUUUUUGGCCGAUACUCUUCACAGCGGAUGAAGGAUUGGCAGGAGAUUAUAGCCCUGUAUGAGAAGGACAACACCUACUUAGGUAAAGUGGCCUGGCCUGGGAGCCCUGGUAUCCAUGGGGAAGCCCACUCUCAGAGUUCUGAGAUACCAGGCUUAUAGGAGGCACAGUCUGUGAGUGGGAAGAGACUGGAGUAU